rnacentral:rRNA from 1 species
UGAGGUUAAGCGACUAAGCGUACACGGUGGAUGCCCUGGCAGUCAGAGGCGAUGAAGGACGUGCUAAUCUGCGAAAAGCGACGGUAAGGUGAUAUGAACCGCUACAGCCGUCGAUGUCCGAAUGGGGAAACCCGGUGCACUUGUGCAUCAUCGUUUGAUGAAUACAUAGUCAAACGAGGCGAACCGGGGGAACUGAAACAUCUAAGUACCCCGAGGAAAAGAAAUCAACCGAGAUUCCCCCAGUAGCGGCGAGCGAACGGGGAGCAGCCCAGGACCUGAAUCAGCUUGUGCAUCAGUGGAAGCGUCUGGAAAGUCGCGCGAUACCGGGUGACAGCCCCGUACACGAAGAUGCAU